UAGGGCCUCACCUCUCUUAAACUUUCUC
rnacentral:piRNA from 1 species